rnacentral:rRNA from 1 species
AACAGGCACACCAGGGUGCUCUACAUGGGAUAGUUCAACAUGACAUCCUGCCUGGCGAGCUCCAACAACAUGGGGUCGUCAAAGAACUUGUUGAUGGAGACAUCCUCGGACAGGCCCUUCCUCCUCCUGGUCUUGACCAUGAACUCCCUGGCCAGAGCAGUAGCUGGCUGUGGUUCUAGCGGCCUGAUGGUGAUGGUCUUGUCCAGGGGGUCACCAGGCACGAUCUGCCAGUGGUGGAAGACUGAGAGGCAGAAGGCCUGCCCCUGGGUGUGGGUGCG